CUACGGGGCGCAGCAGUGGGGAAUAUUGCACAAUGAGCGCAAGCCUGAUGCAGCCAUGCCGCGUGUAUGAAGAAGGCCUUCGGGUUGUAAAGUACUUUCAGCGGGGAGGAAGGGAGUAAAGUUAAUACCUUUGCUCAUUGACGUUACCCGCAGAAGAAGCACCGGCGAACUCCGUGCCAGCAGCCGCGGUAAUACGGAGGGUGCAAGCGUUAAUCGGAAUUACUGGGCGUAAAGCGCACGCAGGCGGUUUGUUAAGUCAGAUGUGAAAUCCCCGGGCUCAACCUGGGAACUGCAUCUGAUACUGGCAAGCUUGAGUCUCGUAGAGGGGGUAGAAUUCCAGGUGUAGCGGUGAAAUGCGUAGAGAUCUGGAGGAAUACCGGUGGCGAAGGCGGCCCCCUGGACGAAGACUGACGCUCAGGUGCGAAAGCGUGGGGAGCAAACAGGAUUAGAUACCCGUGUAGUC
rnacentral:rRNA from 1 species